AUCCAACUGACGAGUCCCAAAUAGGACGAAACGCUCCUUGUCCUGGAU
rnacentral:hammerhead_ribozyme from 1 species